AACGAACGCUGGCGGCAUGCCUAACACAUGCAAGUCGAACGAUACCUUCGGGUCGCGUGGCGCACGGGUGCGUAACGCGUGGGAACCUGCCCUUAGUCUGGGAAUAACUCCCCGAUAGGGGUGCUAAUACCGGGUAAUUUCUUCGUACCAAAGAUUUAUCGACUUUGGAUGGGCCCGCGUUGGAUUCGCUCGUUGGUAGGGUAAAAGCCUACCAAGGCGACGAUCCAUAGCUGGUCUGAGAGGAUGAUCAGCCACACUGGGACUGAGACACGGCCCUGACUCCUACGGGAGGGAGCAGUGGGGAAUAUUGGAAAAUGGGCGAAAGCCUGAUGCAGCAAUGCCGCGUGAGUGAUGAAGGCCUUAGGGUUGUAAAGCUCUUUUACCCGGGAUGAUAAUGACAGUACCGGGAGAAUAAGCUCCGGCUAACUCCGUG
rnacentral:rRNA from 1 species